AGAAAGUCCUAGGAGAAGUUGAACACUGGUCUUUGCAGCACUGUCCAGAGGAAAGUGGCAUGAGAGUACCCAGUAGUGGUUAUUGCACAUAGCCCUCGGAAUCUGUCAUGCUCAAAAGUUGAUCGUAUUCUGGGCUAGGAAGAAACAUCCCUGCGCAGCAAAACUGGAGGAGAGCAUGUAGCAAGUACCCCACAUGUUGUCACAACUCCAAGGAAUUCAUAAUGUCCAUGUAGGAUUGGUGCUAUGUUGGCACAGGAUGAGUGUCCACUGUAUGCCCUGCUAGAGCCAUGGAAGUAAUAAUGUAACAGUACAUCCACCAGCUUCGGUAUUUGGACCUCACAAGUCUCAGGUGGCUUCAUUUCCCACGGAUGAAAACUUUGAUGGAACCCUCUUAACCACAGAAAAGGGAGUACUGAAAUAGGCAGGCAUAUUGAAAUAGAUUAAUUAGACCACCUAAUGCAUGAUACAGAAGGCAGUCUGACUUGGUAAGGGUGGAAAGCUCCCUAACUAUUUAUUGGGUCCAAACUUUGGACAGCUUGGCACUUUUCUGCCUUUUAAUAGAAUUGGAUUAAAAAUAUGGAUUUGAUCUAGUGUGAUGAUAAAAUAUGAUGGGUAAGGAAGUGUGCCAAUUAUAUCUGUCUGGAUUUACCUUUUUGUAU